rnacentral:rRNA from 1 species
AUUGAACGCUGGCGGCAUGCCUUACACAUGCAAGUCGAACGGUAACAGGUCUUCGGAUGCUGACGAGUGGCGAACGGGUGAGUAAUACAACGGAACGUGCCCGCGAGUGGGGGAUAACGAGGCGAAAGCUGUGCUAAUACCGCAUACGAUCUGAGGAUGAAAGCAGGGGACCGCAAGGCCUUGGGUCCACGAAGCCGCCGAUGGCAGAUUAGGUAGUUGGUGGGAUAAAAGCGUACCAAGCCGACGAUCUGUAGCUGGUCUGAGGGGACGACCAGCCACACUGGGACUGAAACACGGCCCAGACUCCUACGGGAGGCAGCAGUGGGGAAUUUUGGACAAUGGGCGCAAGCCUGAUCCAGCCAUGCCGGGUGCAGGAUGAAGGCCUUCGGGUUGUAAACUGCUUUUGUACGGAACGAAAAGACUCUAGUUAAUACCUGGGGUCCAUGACGGUACCGUAAGAAUAAGCACCGGCUAACUACGUGCCAGCAGCCGCCGUAACAC